UAGAUAACCUAUUAUUAAAAAUGUAAAUUUUUUUACUUAAUUAGUAUUAGUUAUGUUCUUGAAAAUUAAAAAAUUUGGCGGUAUUUUAGUCUUUUCAGAGGAACCUGUUCUAUAAUCGAUAGUCCACGAUUAGAUGCACUUUAUUUAUUAGUUUAUAUAUCGUCGUAGUUUAAAUAUUUUAAUAGAAUUAUAAAUAUUUAAAAUUUUUUAUUAAAAAAUAAAUCAGAUCAAGGUGUAGUUUAUAAUAAAGAAGAAAUGGGUUACAAUAAAUUUAUUUUAAAAUAAUUUUUGUUAAAAAAAUUUGAAUUUGGAUUUGAGAGUAAUUUUUUAGAUUUUUUUAAGAUGAUUAAAGCUCUAAAAUAUGUACAUAUCGCCCGUCGCUUUCAUUUUAAAAUGAAAUAA
rnacentral:rRNA from 1 species